rnacentral:rRNA from 1 species
UACGGAGGGGGCUAGCGUUGUUCGGAAUUACUGGGCGUAAAGCGCACGUAGGCGGCUUUGUAAGUUAGAGGUGAAAGCCCGGGGCUCAACUCCGGAACUGCCUUUAAGACUGCAUCGCUAGAAUUGUGGAGAGGUGAGUGGAAUUCCGAGUGUAGAGGUGAAAUUCGUAGAUAUUCGGAGGAACACCAGUGGCGAAGGCGGCUCACUGGUCCGGUACUGACGCUGAGGUGCGAAAGCGUGGGGAGCAAACAGG